rnacentral:rRNA from 1 species
UACGGGGGGGGCGAGCGGUUGUUCGGAAUUACUGGGCGUAAAGGGUUUGUAGGUGGUCUGCUAAGUCAGACGUGAAAUCCCUCAGCUUAACUGGGGAACUGCGUCUGAUACUGGCGGACUUGAGGACAGGAGAGGAACGCGGAAUUCCAGGUGUAGCGGUGAAAUGCGUAGAUAUCUGGAGGAACACCGGUGGCGAAGGCGGCGUUCUGGACUGUUUCUGACACUGAAAAACGAA